UCAUAAAACUAUGGAAAUUUUAUUGAAUUUCAAAGAAUUUAACAAUUUAUCAUCUAAAAAUAUGAUUGUAUAAGAUAUAAAAACGGAUGAGCAGCACUAUUUUCGCUUGUGUUCAAAGAUCAGCUCAAGGACGCAGCACAAGAGAUGAAAACCCUGUUUGCAAUUGCUAUCUUGUUUAUCUCCUUUGGACUUCUUGUCCAAGCGGAAACAAACCAAGAGGCGAAGCGGCUGUCAAUCAAACCUCCAAGACCAAUACCAUCUGCCAGGGUCUAUCUUCCUGGAAUUACCAUCGAAGCUGGAAAGUUCAAAUCCUACUACAGCUACUGCUAUUGCUUUAGAUUUAAGUGCCAUGUUCCUGGAAUGCACAAUGGAUUCAAGGGAUGGCUAAUAAACCAAAACAAUAGGAAAGGAUACUUUGUCAUCAAUGGAAGGCUCUACAUUAUAUAUCGCUGCGAUCACCGACGAAUAGGCGGCGGCAAAUAAAGUGAAAUUGAUCUGUUAUGUUUGUCUUUCAAACCAAUUGCGUUAAAACUUAAACAAAACAUACCAUGUGUUUCUCAUUUCUGUUUGUUUUCUAAUCAUGUUUAAUAUAAUUUCAUUUUCAAUACUUCUGUAGUACACACGAUGCCUUCUUUUUCUUAAUCGUUCUUUCAUUGUCAAUAAGUUAGGAGGAGUGGACGGUUUCCUGGGAGAAAUAUAUUGUUCUUUUGUCCCAGCCAGCUGUAAGUCAUAACCGGUUGCCAGCGAGAAAUUCAGGAAAAAAGAACUCUCCAGGGAAGGAGUUCUUCCUAAUAUUUUUUGCCAGGAAAAUAAAAACUUCACAACUAAAAAAAUAUAAGCAAUUUUUGACCAUAAAAACGUUAUACAAGCCUUUUUAAAUGUUUGCCAGGAACAAACUAACUUUAAAGAAGGAAGGGCGCCAUAAUUGAUUGUGAGAUUGUCAACAAUGUAGCUCAAAAUCCCUUUCCCAGGAAAGAUUCAUGCAAGAACAGUUAUUGAGAAGAACAGACUCCGUCGGCUCCUCCUGAUAAGUUAUUGAAGUACGAAAAUGUUUUCCCUGUAAUGCAGCUGAUGUCCCUUCAAACUAAGUGUUUUUUUUUUACUUUUCUGGAAGCUUCGUGUAAUAUUCAUUAAUUUUAAACAGUAGUUUUUGAGAUUUGAAAAAAAUAAUGGACUCUUUAUUUAUUCUAAAUCAUAACAUUUACCUACUGUUCGUUCUGACAGAUAUUUGACAAUGUUUGACAGAGGUGUAAAUUCUGGUCCUUCGCUCAUUAUUCUUCAUUUCUUAACUAAWAGAAAUUGUCACACUUCUAUAGAGAACUAUAUGUAAUUUAAAUAACUUUCAAUAUU